AAAGGCUGGAACAACAAAUGAAUACAGGAAUGAUGCUAAUAUAAAAAUACAAACCCUAAAUUUUCUUUAUAUAUUUUGAGGGUAAGCUAGUUUCAGAUUUUUCUCUAAGGUUUUGUAGGAAGAGAAAAAUUGGUCACACUAACGCCAUUUUAAAAUAUGCCCCCAUCUGUAAGAGGCAGAGCCACCUGAGGUGAAAAGGUAAACGGCUUGUGUAAGAUUUGGCUGAAAGUCCAGAAAUUAACUCAAGUCCUGGAACAUGUCCUGGGACACUCCCCCGGAACGAUUGUUCAAGUCCUGGAGUACGUUUCGGAACGCUGCUCCCGGAACACCGCUCCUGGAGCGAUUGUUUCAAUGUUGCUUGCUCGGAAUGGCCCUCCUGAGCAAACAACAGACGGUGCUCAAAGUAACAACUGGACUUAAUAAAAGGAGCUUACACGAAGGAGGAGCUGAAGGCUGCUGUGGUCGUGUGCUGGGGGCUGCCCCAGCUCCAGCUGCAGGACCCCGGCCGUCUGCCUUCCGACUCCGGUGAUGAUUCUUCCUGCGGUCUGAUCAAGAUUCUAUGCAGUUAACUUUGUAUCCAAGGAUCUAUAGCCAAGAAAUUUGGAGCUCAGUUUCAAACAUGAACCAGAGUUAAGCGGGCCCUCCAUUUCCUGGCCACACAUUGUCAAUGUGGAAGAUCUCUGGCCAUGAGUUAAAGGUCACCCACGAUACCAAAUUGCAAAUUGUGUUGAGAAUGGAGAGCAUUUGCAAAGCUGGAAUGAAUACACAAAACAUGUUUAUUUACAUCACUCAGGGUCACAAUUGGCUUCAAUGUAUAGCCUCGCCAAGCAUUACAGCAGAGAAGCUUUUGUGCAAAGUGAGCGGAGCACCAGAAGAAAUCUUAAAAGUUUGAGAAGAAAAUAUGGUAAAUAACUAAGAGAAAUCUCUGGUCAAUACUCAACAAGUCCUUCAGUCCAACAAUAUUCCAUACAUGAAAUCCUGCCAAAAACCAGGUUAAAGAGAGAUCAUCAAUCAGAGGACCCAAUUAAGCUGUGACCAGAGUCCUGGCCCAUUGCAACUGUGAACAAAGUGCAUGUUGUUUAGGCUGCUAAACUUGUGGUUAUUUGUUUCACAAUAGUAAGUAACUUAUAAAAAUGCUCUAUACUCGUGAUCCUCAUUAUCAAUGAAACAUCUCAUUAUUCAUGUAAGGACAUUGAAUUCCUUAAAAAUUGAGGUAAACUAUCUUGAAAACAAAGCCCAAGGGGUUAAUGCAUUUUCAUAUACCCUCCUUCACCUGCUAGAGAUCAAGUUAAAGAAGUCACAAUCACUAUUACUGUUGUAGAAAAGGUACUCCUUUUCCUUUAUUCAGGCUCUUACUUGUGCUUAGAAUAAAUGUUUGUGGCUUCUAUGGUUAACUAGCUGAAACAUAAAGGCUUUGGUUAUUGUAUGUUCCCUUCGAAGGCCAUUUGUAGUAUUGAUUUAACCCACAAGCACUUUGGACGUUGUUUUUGCCUCAAUCAUUCAAGCAGGUGGUUCUGUACAAUGUAGAACACAGCUUAAAGGGAAAAACAUAGAAAGACAUCAACUCUACAAGCAGCUCCUGUAGUAGCUCUGGAAACAUUGUGAAGUAACUCUAUGCACAAUAUUAUUGAUACCUAUUUGGAAUUUUCCUAUAAUGGGACAAAUUUGAUAUACAAUCUAUUUACAUUAUAGAAUCUUUCCUAAUGCACCUGUGUCUCACUGACAG
rnacentral:lncRNA from 1 species